GUGCUGCUGAAGAGUCCCAAGAUAGGAUGAAGCAGCUGUCCAGUAC
rnacentral:hammerhead_ribozyme from 1 species